rnacentral:rRNA from 1 species
UACGAGGGGGGCAAGCGUUGUUCGGAAUUAUUGGGCGUAAAGGGCGCGUAGGCGGUCUGAUAAGUCUGAUGUGAAAAUCUCUGGGCUCAACCCAGAGUCUGCAUUAGAAACUGUCGGGCUUGAGUGUGGGAGAGGUGAGUGGAAUUCCUGGUGUAGCGGUGAAAUGCGUAGAUAUCAGGAGGAACACCUGUGGCGAAAGCGGCUCACUGGACCAUAACUGACGCUGAUGCACGAAAGCUAGGGGAGCAAACAGG